rnacentral:rRNA from 1 species
GAGGGCAAGUCUGGUGCCAGCAGCCGCGGUAAUUCCAGCUCCAAUAGCGUAUAUUAAAGUUGUUGCGGUUAAAAAGCUCGUAGUUGGUUCUGCGUGCCGCGCUGUCGGUUCGCCGCCUGUCGGUGUAACUGGCAUGUCGCGGCAUGUCCUGUCGGUGGUGAACGGAGUCCACGACGCUACAUGGGCUUUAUAGUCGAUGUUAGCAUCGUGUGUACUUCCGUUGGCCGAUCUCUCCUACUUCGGUGCUCUUAAACGAGUGUCGAGGUAGGCCGACACGUUCACUUUGAACAAAUUAGAGUGCUUAAAGCAGGCUGAAAUAUCUGCCUGAAUAGUGGUGCAUGGAAUGAUAAAACAGGACCUCGGUUCUAUUUUGUUGGUUUUAGGAAUAUGAGGUAAUGAUCAAUGUGGACUGGCGGGGGCAUUCGUAUUGCGACGUUAGAGGUGAAAUUCUUGGAUCGUCGCAAGACGCACUAGAGCGAAAGCAUUUGCCAAGUAUGUCUUAAUUGAUCAAGAACGAAAGUUAGAGGUUCGAAGGCGAUCAGAUACCGCCCUAGUUCUAACCAUAAACGAUGCCAGCCAGCGAUCCGCCGAUGUUCCUUUAAUGACUCGGCGGGGAGCUUCCACCCGGGAAACCAAAGCUUUUGGGUUCCGGGGGAAGUAUGGUUGCAAAGCUGAAACUUAAAGG